rnacentral:rRNA from 1 species
AGUGGCGGACGGGUGAGUAACGCGUGAGAAUCUGCCUUCAGGUCGGGGACAACAGAGGGAAACUUCUGCUAAUCCCGGAUGAGCCUUAGGGUAAAAAAUUUAUUGCCUGGAGAUGAGCUCGCGUCUGAUUAGCUAGUUGGUAAGGUAAAAGCUUACCAAGGCAACGAUCAGUAGCUGGUCUGAGAGGAUGAGCAGCCACACUGGGACUGAGACACGGCCCAGACUCCUACGGGAGGCAGCAGUGGGGAAUUUUCCGCAAUGGGCGAAAGCCUGACGGAGCAAGACCGCGUGGGGGAGGAAGGCUCUAGGGUUGUAAACCCCUUUUCUUUGGGAAGAACAAAAUGACGGUACCAAAGGAAUCAGCCUCGGCUAACUCCGUGCCAGCAGCCGCGGUAAUACGGAGGAGGCAAGCGUUAUCCGGAAUGAUUGGGCGUAAAGCGUCCGCAGGUGGCAAUGUAAGUCUGCUGUCAAAACCCAGGGCUCAACUCUGGUCAGGCAGUGGAAACUACAUAGCUAGAGUUCGGUAGGGGCAAAGGGAAUUCCCGGUGUAGCGGUGAAAUGCGUAGAGAUCGGGAAGAACAUCGGUGGCGAAAGCGCUUUGCUAGACUGAAACUGACACUCAGGGACGAAAGCUAGGGGAGCGAAUGGGAUUAGAUACCCC